rnacentral:ribozyme from 1 species
UUUUUUUUUUUUUUUUUUUUUUUUUUUUUUUCCCCAAGGAAAAGUGUACCACUUUACUAUUGCUGGAAGUGUGUACACAUGAGUGGUGCUGUAACAGCAGCAAAGAGGAGGAGAUGUUUGUUGAAGAUUUAAAACUGCGUAUUUACCUAUGUGAGACUAUAUCACAGUCGGCACGAAUUGUAUAUAUUGUCAAUGCAACAUUUUCAUUUUUCGUUCUACUAUGACAUUGAAUGUAAUAUUUUGAAAAAGGGUCAACAAACGACCACCAGAAAUAUUCAGUAAUGUAUAA